rnacentral:lncRNA from 1 species
UUGCAGGCCUGAAAGGAAAUAACUCCUGUGCUGCCAUGCCGUGUUGACUUUUCGACAAAGUGUGAGUCUGGUAAACAGGGAACUUCUCUGUCCCCUUUCAAUGCUACCUCCUUUCUUGAGCUGCUU